AGUGAACGCUGGCGGUAGGCCUAACACAUGCAAGUCGAACGGCAGCACAGUAAGAGCUUGCUCUUACGGGUGGCGAGUGGCGGACGGGUGAGGAAUACAUCGGAAUCUACUUUUUCGUGGGGGAUAACGUAGGGAAACUUACGCUAAUACCGCAUACGACCUACGGGUGAAAGCAGGGGAUCUUCGGACCUUGCGCGAUUGAAUGAGCCGAUGUCGGAUUAGCUAGUUGGCGGGGUAAAGGCCCACCAAGGCGACGAUCCGUAGCUGGUCUGAGAGGAUGAACCGCCACACUGGAACUGAGACACGGUCCAGAACCCUACGGGAGGCAGCAGUGGGGAAUAUUGGACAAUGGGCGCAAGCCUGAUCCAGCCAUACCGCGUGGGUGAAGAAGGCCUUCGGGUUGUAAAGCCCUUUUGUUGGGAAAGAAAAGCAGCAGGUUAAUACCCCGCUGUUCUGACGGUACCCAAAGAAUAAGCACCGGCUAACUUCGU
rnacentral:rRNA from 1 species